GGUCGAAUGGUGUAGUUGGUUAUCACUUCUGUCUAACAGUAGCACGUGACUCUGUUCACAGGCGGUCCUCAGUUCGAACCUGGGUUCGAUCA